GGUAGGUCUCGUCCACUAUAGAAGGGGCUGCUUGUCCCCUCCUCCUUCUCUUAUUCUUGCUUCUCUCUUGUGCCCUCUUGCUCCCAUCUCUCUCCACAUUCCCUUCUUCCCUCUCUUCUGUGGCCAAGACCAGCCUCUACUUCUCUACUCUCUCCGUCUCCAUGCUUUUCCCUGUCUCUACUACCCUCUUAGCUCCCGCUUCACAGACACUCCUCCCUGCAAAAGGUAUUUAACCUCAGGCCCGUCCUGAGAAAGUGGGGUGUGGUUUCACUCAUCACCACUCUCCGCCAUGACGGUAAACUCCUUAAGACCACGGACUGUCUCUUCUCAUCGGGAUCGGUAGUACUGGAGCAAUGGAGUCGAUUAUGAUAUUUGGGAUUCUGCAGACCAUUUGCACCAUUGAGAAGAUUGGAACAAAUGAGUUGGCCACUUUCAGCUCACUCGUAAAAAUUUCCUGCAGGGCUCCUGUGUUCCUAGCUGCUUACAUUAGAUCAACGCUGCACUUGUUUUUCCUGCAUGGAUUUGUGUGCACCAGAAGAAUGCUUGGAGUCGGUGAAAAGGGAAACUGAUGAUCUGGAAUUGGAAUGGCAGAUGGUUGUGAGCCACCAUAUGGAUGCUCAGAACUGAACCUGGGCUCUCUGCAAGAGCAUCAAGUGCUCUUAACCAUUUGCACCAUCUCAGCGACCCCAAAGCUAUGAUGUGUAAGCCACUUAAUAUCAAGAGUAUUCAUCCCUUAGAAUCAAACUUUAUUACAAAGUUGUCAGCAGUGUUUCAGCAUGAGAUGAAGUGAAUUGCCAAGCCCUUUCAUCUUCUAUAAUCAGCUCUGCACAGCUGAGUACACCCACAGCCCUGCAGCCGCCUCUGCCAGCCUGGAUUCUGUGCCGAACAGGAAGUCUUUGUUAGCGCCACGUUUCCACCGCUCUACCCUGGACAGGGUUUCCUUGGGUUCUCUCCUUCCUUUCUUGCUCCUAGGAGUCUUCAGCCUCCAAACCCUGUGCUGUGCAUCUAGAGUAUUUGAUUUCCUGUAGAAAAUAAGUGUUUAAGGGAUAACAUUAUAAAAGAGUAUAUGCCUUA